rnacentral:rRNA from 1 species
UAGUCCACGCCGUAAACGAUGAGUGCUAGUUGUCGGGCAGCAAGCUGUUCGGUGACGCAGCUAACGCAUUAAGCACUCCGCCUGGGGAGUACGGCCGCAAGGCUAAAACUCAAAGAAAUUGACGGGGGCCCGCACAAGCGGUGGAGCAUGUGGUUUAAUUCGACGCAACGCGAAGAACCUUACCUGCCCUUGACAUGCCUCUCGCGCGGAUCAGAGAUGAACCGCUUCAGUUCGGCUGGAGAGUGCACAGGUGCUGCAUGGCUGUCGUCAGCUCGUGUCGUGAGAUGUUAGGUUAAGUCCUGUAACGAGCGCAACCCUCGCCUUUAGUUGUCAUCGGGUCGGGCCGGGCACUUUAAAGGAACUGCCGGUUUUAAGCCGGAGGAAGGUGGGGAUGACGUCAAGUCCUCAUGGCCCUUACGGGCAGGGCUACACACGUGCUACAAUGGUGGUGACAACGGGUUAAUCCCCAAAAACCACCUCAGUUCGGAUUGUUUUCUGCAACUCGAAAGCA